rnacentral:rRNA from 1 species
AUGGCUGUCGUCAGCUCGUGUCGUGAGAUGUUGGGUUAAGUCCCGCAACGAGCGCAGCCCUUGUCAUUAGUUGCUUACAUUUGGUUGGGCACUCUAAUGAGACUGCCGGUGACAAGCCGGAGGGAAGGUGGGGAUGACGUCAAGUCCUCAUGGCCCUUAUGGGUAGGGCUUCACACGUCAUACAAUGGUCGGGACAGAGGGUCGCCAACCCGCGAGGGGGGAGCCAAUCCCAGAAACCCGAUCGUAGUCCGGAUUGCAGGCUGCAACUCGCCUGCAUGAAGUCGGAAUCGCUAGUAAUCGCGGAUCAGCAUGUCGCGGUGAAUACGUUCCCGGGUCUU